rnacentral:lncRNA from 10 species
CUUUCUUCCUUUUUUUUUUUGUCUGCAACAUCACUUUCAGCCAAUGGGGUUUCAUUUUUCAUUCUCAGCUUUUGUUUCUGACUCUCUGUGGACUGGGAAUCCAGAUGAAGUUAACUUAUUCUAAUUGUUAUUUUUAAAAAACAAAGGCUUCAAUAUACGGUCUUAGGAACUCUCCUCUGGGUUUUCCACUUUUCAUCUUUGUUUUCCACUCUCCUCAUGUAUGCUAGCCACUUGGAGACCCUUUUUGUUACUUCCUGAUAUUUACCUGUAUUCAAGAUGAGUCAGGUUGUCAGGCUGCUAAUUUCUGGACAUGUGAGUUAUUUCUGUAGUUUUGCUCCAAUAUACCACCAAAAAUAAGAUAGAUCCUUUACUCUGCCAGUGCCAUCUUCAGUGGCAGGUGUCAACUGACAGAUUUGAAUAGACAAUUUAUAUGUGUAUUAUUUGAAACCUAGAGCAUUUCCUGUAGUUAGCUCUCUCCUCUACAAUGUUUUGCAAACAUUACAAGAAGAACGGACCCAUCUCAAAAGGUAACCGGAAGGUAACUUGAAGCUGUUAUUUGCUUGUGGGGAGAUGGGGCUGUGGUCAGGCAAUGGAAGUGGUGGAUAGCUGGAUAGAUGGAUAGCUGGAUGCUCAGGGCUUUCUGCAGCAGCACUGGGAGAAGCUCUAGCAUUGAGGACGGAGUGGAGCCCAAGAGGGACAUUGGAAAGCCCUCCAUCAAAGGUAGAUGAGACCUCCAUGAUAACAGGACAUUAGUAUAGAGACUGGUUUGGUGGAAGAAGUUGCCACUGCUGAGGUGCCAAUUAAAAGAGGCUGUUGUGUCCUGGAGAAAGGACGAACAAGGGUACGCUUGUGCCCACUGUUGAUUUUCUGUGGCACCCCAGCACAGAGAACAGCUGAGCUUAAUGCCAGAUUUCCCUCCUGCUGAAUUCAGCCAGCUUUGAAAAUGAGCAGGGGAGACAAAGAAGUGCAGACCUGCAUCAUAGAGAUUCAUGCUAGUCGUCUUCACCAUUGUCACUAUGGAGUAUUACCUCCCAGUGAUUUUUGGCCUUGCACACAGAAGCACUGUUUCUGUGCAAAGGGUAAGUAAGGGGGAGGCAUGGUUUCUGCCUGCGUAGGGCUCACGUAAGGGGACAGUCACACUGCCAUGGAUUCUCUGCCAAUACAGCAAUCAUAAGGUCGUUGACAAAAAGUCUAUUGUUCAUAUGCUUUGUGAUUUAAUUGCUAAAGACCAACACCUAAAUUAUCAGUUAGCAUCACAAUAAACUAUUGUAAUGAGAAGACCCCAAAAAUGCAAUGACUCAGGUAAGAUAGAAGUUGAUUCCUUUCUUACCUAACAGUCCUGGGUGGUGCGCCUGAUCAGCAGGAGGGUUUGUCCACGCAGUGACUCAGGGACCCAGGUUGCUUCCUGCUUGUUUAUUCUCUAUUCUCUAAACCAUUUGUCUUGCCUGUCUAGGUGUCAUGCCCAGAUAGCCAGCCAGCAGGAAAAAAAAGGGAAGAACGUGAGGGGCAUGCUUGCAAAGUGUGACAGACUUGUCUAGAAGUAGCACCCUUCUCAUCCAUUGGCCAGAAUGUGGUCACGUGACCACCAUCCACUCCAUGGGGUCCUGGAGAUGUGGUGCCUGCCUGGGCUGCACAUCAGCCACACUUCUCUCACUGUGGAAGAUGUUUUUAGGAAAAACCAGUUCUCCUCAUUCUGAGAAAUUUACUCUUGCUACCGUGCCC